UCCUACGGGAGGCAGCAGUAAGGGAUAUUGGUCAAUGGGGGGAACCCUGAGCCAGCCAUGCCGCGUGAGGGAGUGAGGCCCUACGGAUCGUAAACCUCUUUUGCCGGGGGAUAAGGACGGGAACGUGUUCCUGUUUGAAGGUACCCGGAGAAUAAGCAUCGGCUAACUCCGUGCCAGCAGCCGCGGUAAUACGGAGGAUGCGAGCGUUAUCCGGAUUUAUUGGGUUUAAAGGGUGCGCAGGCGGGCGAUUAAGUCAGCGGUGAAAGGCUCGGGCUCAACCGGAGCAGUGCCGUUGAUACUGGUUGCCUUGAAUGCGGUCGAGGCCGGCGGAAUGUGGCGUGUAGCGGUGAAAUGCAUAGAUAUGCCACAGAACACCGAUAGCGAAGGCAGCUGGCCGGGCCUGCAUUGACGCUGAGGCACGAAAGCGUGGGGAUCGAACAGGAUUAGAUACCCUGGUAGUCC
rnacentral:rRNA from 1 species